rnacentral:ncRNA from 1 species
AAUUGCAUAAAAGCAUUAGGUGCCCAUUGCGGGAGAAUAGGGAAUAAAGUGAAAAACUUUAGCGGUCCCACCACUGUAAAAGGGAGUUUCAUAGAGAAUGCCACUAGCAUCGUUCUGGGAAGGUUCUAUGAAAUGUUGAAAUUGAGCCAGGAGACCUGCCUAACUGCUUCGGUUAUA